CCCCCUCCCCUCACCUUCUCUCCAUCCCCUCUGGGGAUUGCAGAUCGAGCAGUUGAGGCGGCGGCGCUCCCAGAUCUACGACGGACCACCCCUGGCUCGCCGUCUCGGCUAACGAGCACGUCCUCGAAUUCCCCGCCAACCCCUCGCAAGACGCCUCUCCGUGUUGCAUCCGUGGCAUGCGGGGUGCAGUUUGGGUGGGUGUAGAAGCUCUGCAUCUCAAGACGCACUUCUGGGUCUGCUCGCCGCCGUCCACUAUCUCUCCGACAGCGCAGUCGUUGGCGAACCCCACAGCCAUCAGCAUCAACCGGAGCCGCGUGCUUGAUGUGCACAUGUGUGGGUUGAUCCAUACGUGUUGUGCGUGAUUGAUGUGUGCUUGAUGCGUAAGUGUGCUUGUAGAUUACUGCUUACAUUAUUGCUAGAGAGAGAAGCUGACCUUGAGCACCUGACGUGUUGGGACCUUUUCAACCUAUGAUUCAGCUGGCCUUGAGCACCUGACGUGUUGGGACCUUUUCAAUCUAUGAUUCCUUUUCCGUCUAAAAUCAUAUAUAUUGCUCUAGUAAUUGUACCAUUCCUUCUUACAUUUUUCUACACAAGGAUUGUCAUGGAGUUUACACAACUAGCAUAUGUUUAGUUGUCUUACGCUUCUGUAAAAGUAGACUAAAACCAUGAAGUGUUUUUAGGGGAGUAAGUUUAUUUGUGACCCCUCAAAAAAUGAACAUGUGCAUGUUCUUUUAUCCCUUUUUAGGUGACAUAGUUUCCUACGAUCAACCAUACUAUUGCCUAAACCAUGUAUGUAUUCAGUUGCCCACAAUCAACAUUACAGUUGUCUAAAACCAU
rnacentral:lncRNA from 1 species